GGCGUGCUCGAUCCCAAAACUCCGAAUCCUCUCCGGGUUCCUCCGCUCCUCCUUGGCAAACUCCAACACCGAAACCCCAGCAUUGGAAACCUUCCAGAAACUUCCAACCUCCCCCAAAACCCCACAAGGUGAUGAAGAUGACGAUGAUGAUGAUGAAGAAGAAGAAAACCCAGAUUUGGAAAAACUGACAUCGCGUUCGCCGCGCCCGCCGCCGAUCUCGUUGCGGAAAUGAGGACAACUCAACAACAACUCAUUGCUGGUGUCAUCACCUAAAUCCUGCUCCAAAUUUUCUUUGGAAUUUAAAUUUUCCAAACUGGAGAAAAUUUUGGGAUCGGAACCGGCGGAAGCGGCCGAAGCUCCCGUGGUCGUGUUGCGCCGUUGGGUUCCCGUCGAGGAUCCGACGGAAACGGCUUCGAAAAAAAUGCUCUGAACGUCGAAAUGAGCGAAACUUUUGCGCCAAAUCCAAGAUUUUGGAGCUUCUGGAAGUUUGGGAUCUUCGGGAUCUUUGGGAUUGAGGAGUUUUUUGAAGAUGGAAUCGUCGGGUUUUAAACGGCGCCGGGGUUUUUCUUUCGGAGCUUGGGGUUGAUCCGAAUUUGGAUCGGGAUUUUGAUUGGAAUUUUGGGAAUUUUGGGGUUUUUUGGUUCGGAAUUCGUUGAGGAUUUCAUAAAAACUCUGCUCUGGGAUUCCUUGGAUGUCGAUGGAGGAGGUGCUGCCGUACUCGCGGAACAAUCCGGCGGAAUUCCCGGAAUUCCCGCGGAUUUCCGGGAUUUCUUCGGGAUCGCAUUCGCUCAAAGUGACUUCGCUGCUGCUCCUUUGUCUCAAAGGAAUUCCCAAAAAUCCUUCUUGGAAUUCCAGAUCUUUCCAAUGAGGGACCAAGCGGCGAUGGAAGGGUUUGAAUGGAGCUUGGGAAGGUUGGGAAUUGCGGGAAAUUCCGGAAUAUUCUUUGGAGCGCGGGGGCCACUCGGCCACGCGGGCGCGGACGCCCAUCUUGGGCACCGGGGGGAUCUCGGAGCGUUGGGAGGUCAUGGUCACCCAAAAGGGAAUUGGGGAGUUUGGAAGUUCUGGAGAUCCUGGAGGUCCAGAAGAUCUGGGAGGUCCAGGAGGUUCAGGAGGUUCUGGAGAUCCAGAAGGUCCAGGAGGUCCUGGAAGUUCUGAGGGUUCAGGAGGUUCAGGAGGUCCUGGAGGUCCAGGAGGUCCUGGAAGUCUGGGAGGUCCAAAGGUCCAGAAGGUUCUGGAGGUCCAGGAGGUCCUGGAGGUCCAAGAGGUCCAGGAGGUCUGGAAGGUUCUGGAGGUCUGGGAGGUUCUGGAGAUCCAGAAGGUCAAGGAGGUUCAGGAGGUCCUGGAGGUUCUGGAGAUCCAGAAGGUCCAGAAGAUCCAGAAGGUCAAGGAGGUUCCAGGAGGUCCUGGAAGUCCUGAGGGUUCAGGAGGUUCAGAGGAUCUGGGAGGUCCAAGAGGUCCUGGAGGUUGAGAAGAUCUGGAAGGUUCAGGAGGUUCUGGAGAUUCAGGAGCUUCAGGAGGUCCAGAAGAUCCCAGAGGUUCAGAAGAUCCAGGAGGUCCUGGAGGUUCUGGAGAUCCAGAAGGGUCAAGGAGGUUCAGAAGGUCCAGGAGGUCAGGGAGGUUCAGGAGGUUCAGAAGGGUCAAGGAGGUCCAGGAGGUCAGGGAGGUUCAGGAGGUUCAGAAGAUCCAGAAGCUCCAGGAGGUUCAGG
ensembl:lncRNA